rnacentral:rRNA from 1 species
UACGUAGGGUGCGAGCGUUAAUCGGAAUUACUGGGCGUAAAGCGUGCGCAGGCGGUUUUGUAAGCCAGAUGUGAAAUCCCCGGGCCCAACCUGGGAAUGGCAUUUGGGACUGCAAGGCUAGAGUAUGGCAGAGGAGACCAGAAUUUCUGGUGUAGCAGUGAAAUGCGUAGAUAUCAGAAGGAAUACCGAUGGCGAAGGCAGGCCUCUGGGUCAAUACUGACGCUCAUGCACGAAAGCGUGGGGAGCAAACAGG